CGCACCUUGCACCUUUUGGCAUUCCGAAAGGUACAUCUGUUUGAGUGUCAUGAAUCCCUCAACCUCUACACUUUCUUAUCGAGGGUGUACGAGCGUUGGAUGUUGAGCGCUGCUGUUGUACGACAGCUCGCUUCAAAUGUAUCAGCAAUCUCGAUGGUGUUUCGGAUUGACCCGACGUGAUAAGAUCUUCGUCGGGGAUGCUUUCAUUAGCAGCCGGUCAACUGUACGAGUCGCUCCUAAACAUUCUCUUGCCGCUCUCACGAGUGCAAGGAAACCCCCUACUUUUAGACCUCAAAUCAGAUGGGACUACCCGCUGAACUUAA
rnacentral:misc_RNA from 1 species